GAUGGUUUAACUCCUUCCCCUACUA
rnacentral:tRNA from 6 species